GGGGCUGUCAAGGUUUCGACGGGGAGGGAGAAGAGCGAGCAGCGGGUAGCAGCGGGGAACUGCUUAAAACUCUCCAAAACAAUUAACUGACAACCGUAACGUUGCAGUCGCUGCCUAAUUAAGGCAGCUGUUCUGCCCACCAUUGUGCCGGGUGGGGCCAGGGCAUCGAUUAGGCACAGCACAUGAACGGGCAUAAGCUUUGCCGCCCGUCACGAACCCAUGAAGCUACCAAACAGUUCGGUCUGGCAUUCGUCUGAACUGUAAGGAAAAUCGAAACGACUGCCUGCACCCGGAGAUACUCUCUUGGACCCCUUUUCGGACAUGGGUUCGACUCCCAUCAGCUCCACCA
rnacentral:tmRNA from 1 species